UAAUAAUAAUAAUAAUAAUAAUAAUAAUAAUAAUAAUAAUAAUAAUAAUAAUAAUAAUAAUAAUAAUAAUAAUAAUAAUAAUAAUAAUAAUAAUAAUAAUAAUAAUAAUAAUAAUAAUAAUAAUAAUAAAUAAUAAUAAUAAUAAUAAUAAUAAUAAUAAUAAUAAUAAUAAUAAUAAUAAUAAUAAUAAUAAUAAUAAUAAUAAUAAUAAUAAUAAUAAUAAUAAUAAUAAUAAUAAUAAUAAUAAUUAUAUCAAUUUGGUAGUAUAAUUCCCCUAUUAAUUUUUAUUUUGCAAUAUUUCACAAUACGCUGAUCGGAAGAAUUAUCAAUGCUUGAAAUCCAUUUUAAAAACUAAGUUAGCCUAAAUGAAGAUGAUUUGAAGUCAAACCAGCCCUUGAAACCCUUUUAUUUUGGAAUAGAUUGCUAUUCAAAGGGAAUUAUACUACCAUGUUUAGAUUGGGGUUUUUAAGAAUUCGGGAUAUUAUUUAAGAAAGCAAAUGCGUUUUUACAAAUUGUUUUAAGAACACUUUUCUUCACUCCAAAAAUUUUCAGCAACUUUUAGUAUUAAAUUAUUAAAAUUUCGACUUCACCAGAACGUCGAGCUGACCUGUCCCAACUAAACUCGUCUCCGCUCGCUGACACUCAUUCUAACAACAGCAUGCAGAAAAAAAUAUUAUGACUUCCCGUAAGUGAAUACAUUUGUGUGUAUGUAUACACCAUCAGAAAGGAAACGAGAGCACCAGUAAUUUGGGAACAAGUUUAUUAAUUUUUAAUAAUUUCUUGGAGCUUUAUAAAAGAAAAGUUUACAAAAUUCUGGGAAUUAUACUACCCUGUUGCAAAAUCUCAUACACCAAGCGGGCCAUUCAAGCCGAAACGGCAAGGGGCCCAAAGCUGUGUGUAGCGCUAGCUUGGUUCAUACAAAGCUAAACAGACCUCGCCAGGUCGUUUGCAGGGUUGUGCAUCGUAAAGCUGUUGUUUGUGGCAUGUUUUUGGGUAAAACAUUAAUUUUUAAAUCCGAAAUACACUAAUUAUAUUGUUAAUUGGUCGUUUCUUUUAUCUAUGCUUUUAUACUGGUUUAACUAGCUUGUGCAAAAGCUAUGUUUGUACUAGGAGAGCUCCCAAAGCAUACUGUCCCUUUGUUUUGUACUGUAGCUAAUGUAGCUAACCAAUUUAAAAGUGCUAGCUAAACACCUUCCUGCACAGCAUAAAACAAUGUUUUACUCUGUUAAAGUGACUUCUUUUUAAAAUAAUUCUAGAAAAUAAGUGGGAAUUUCAAUUUUCUGAUUUGAGUUAAAGACCUUUUGGGAAAAUUUAAACAAGUCAUGGAAGCAGUAGCUACAGAAUAGCAGUAGUAUCCUGUAUAUGCAAUACAAGGAUGCUAUAAGACAAAAUAUUGUUUAUCUGUUUAUCCUUUAAGAUUAAUUUUUUUAUUUUUGAAGAUUUAGCUAGGUAGUGAAAUAUAAUGGUCUGAAAAGGCAAUGACACUUAGCUACAUAGUGAGUAAUCUAUAUGUCACAACAAACAUUUUGUGUAUUAGUAAAGUGAUAAACAUAGAAAAAAUGACAAUAAAUGUCCAGAUAGUGUGACUAUAGCGGUCAAAUGUCCAUAAUGAAGCAUCCCAGGUCCUUUUCGUGGAAUUCAAAAAUUCAAAUAUUUUGCGUAGAAAAAAGCUUAUGGACUUGAAAGUUGUUAUGGAGUGCAUAUAGGUCAAUGUAAUGAAAUUAGCAUAAAAAAUGUUUUUGCAUUGGCUAUAUAUACUUCCUGAGUUUCAGAAUUUAGGCAUUUCAAAGGACACAGAUGAGACUUUUUAAACAAAACAAUAGAUUUUGACUAAAAAUCAAGCAAAUAGGUACCAAUAUUUUUAGCAAAAUGAUUUGUUUAAAGUCUCUUGAUAUGCUAAGAAAUUUGAUUAAGAAAUGUUGAUUAAGCUCGAUUUGGCACAUUUUUAUAUUCCACGACAAGGUAUGAGUAGGUUAAUACACAAAAACUCAGUUCAUUUUGAUACUGUUAGAUACUAUUUUUUUUAAGUAUAUACCAGUAAAAUUUAACCUGAACCUCACUGUUUCUGAGCAUGAAGCUGUUCUUAUUUCAUCAAUGACAUCAGUGACGUCAUGACAUCAUGACUCACAAUUUAAAAGUAUGGGUACAUAUAUAGUUUUUAACAGUAACAGCAGCAUCUCCAGUAUGACAGCAAGCCUGUACUUUGAUUGGAAUCCUGCUUCACAACCCUAUUUAAGAUUAUUGCAAUCUGAAUGCAUCAGCAGCUAUGGACCUCUUUUUAAAAAUUUCUCGUUUUUAAUAUGCACUGACACAUAGUUUUGCAUGUUACGCUUCACCAAUUUGCAGAGCGGAAAUUUCCUAUGUUUGUUCUCUCUGCUUGCUUAAAAAAUCUGCUGAUGUGAGGCAAAAAAAUAUCAUAUUUGGCUAUGUUGCAUUGAUUUUGAAUGCUCUUGUGGUAAAAUAUUGUAAUAUGGCACAAAGAUAAAUUUCAGUUACUAGCAGGUCAGAGAAUCCUGACCAUCUCUAGUUUAUUUAGUUUGGCAUGCAAAAACUUAUCCACAACACAGUAUUUUCAAAUUUAAUGAUUCGAACAUAGUUUUGAUCAAUAGCAACGUAACAGAUAAACAUUAUUUAGUGUUUUAUUAUUGACAACAAAUUAAAAGCAGUAAAAACGAGAUUAUUGUAGACGUAAGCCUGCACAUUAGCUUCCCAACUUCUAAACUGUAACAUGACUAUUUCUAUCCUGAAAGGAUGAUAGCCAAUGUUGUCCCACAUAUAAAUCACUAUUAUAAUAUUGCACAACUUAACAUAAUGCUUUGAUUACUGAUUAGUGUUGUCAUGGCCACACAAUUUUUUCUGGAAAAUAUUGAUAGAUAUUACAGAUCAGCCUAAAAAUGUUUCUCAUAUUUUUCAACACUUUUUCUUCAUUGGCAUUGAAACAAUUUCAAAACAUGUAUAUAUAUACGGUUAUUUUAUACUGUGCAUAUCCUUUCAUUAAUUAGUGAUGCACGGAAAAGGUGAAAAUGUAUAUACUUGUACCAAAUUCUUGUCUUGUUUGCACAUUAUUUAUCUGAGCUUUUGACAAAAUCAUUGCAUCAUUUUAUCUUUAGGUUUAAUUAAGAAUGUUCAAGAAUUUACACUAAUCUGCGAGAUGUGGCAGAACUAAAGCCACAUACUCGACACCUGCUAACACAAUGUAACCGUUUAAUUCGAAUAUUUGAUGAAAUAGUACCCAUAUUUUAUGGUUUAUAUAUCAGGUUUAAUUUUAUUUCUUGGUGUUAGGUAUCUCUAAUAUCAAACAAAAUUAUUGUGUAAGUUACUGUCUGAUUUACCAAUUUAUUUGGCCGCACCGUGCAUUUUGUUUCCAUGAAUCUAUUGAGAUGCUUAUUGUAUGAUUUUUUGGAUGGCCGCACAGGUGCAUUUUGUUUCUUGAAUCUAUUGAGAUGCAUCAAGACUGUAUUUAUCGAUCUUGCUCAAAAUGGACCAUAAAUUUUCAAUUUGAUGCAUGUCUGUAGAAUUCAGGUCUUAUAUUGUACUCGAUUGUAUGAUUUUAUUUGGAUGGCCGCACCGUGCAUUUUGUUUCCAUGAAUCUAUUGAGACACAUAUUGUAUGAUUUUAUUGGAUGGCCGCACAGGUGCAUUUUGUUUCUUGAAUCUAUUGAGAUGCAUCAAGACUGUAUUUAUCGAUCUUGCUCAAUAUGGACCAUAAAUUUUCAAUUUGAUGCAUGUCUGUAGAAUUCAAGUCUUAUAUUGUACUAGAAUGUAUGAUUUUAUUUGGAUGGCCGCACCGUGCAUUUUGUUUCCAUGAAUCUAUUGAGAUGCUUAUUGUAUGAUUUUAUUGGAUGGCCGCACAGGUGCAUUUUGUUUCUUGAAUCUAUUGAGAUGCAUCAAGACUGUAUUUAUCGAUCUUGCUCAAAAUGGACCAUAAAUUUUCAAUUUGAUGCAUGUCUGUAGAAUUCAGGUCUUAUAUUGUACUAGAAUGUAUGAUUUUAUUUGGACGGCCGCACCGUGCAUUUUGUUUCCAUGAAUCUAUUGAGACACA